rnacentral:rRNA from 1 species
GCAAAACGCGAAGAACCUUACCAAGGCUUGACAUCCCCUUGACCGGCACAGAGAUGUGCCCUCUCCUUCGGGAGCAAGGGUGACAGGUGGUGCAUGGUUGUCGUCAGCUCGUGUCGUGAGAUGUUGGGUUAAGUCCCGCAACGAGCGCAACCCUUAUCCUUAGUUGCCAGCAUUAACGGUGGGCACUCUAAGGAGACUGCCGAUGAUAAAUCGGAGGAAGGUGGGGAUGACGUCAAAUCAUCAUGCCCCUUAUGUCUUGGGCUACACACGUGCUACAAUGGUCGGUACAACGGGCAGCGAAGGAGCGAUCCGGAGCGAAUCCCAAUAAACCGAUCCCAGUUCGGAUUGUAGGCUGCAACUCGCCUACAUGAAGUCGGAGUUGCUAGUAAUCGCGAAUCAGAACGUCGCGGUGAAUGCGUUCCCGGGUCUUGUACACACCG